CUUUGACGUUAAGUUGAAGACCAUGUGACCUUUGCUGGAGCGAGUGCGGAAAAUUGAAUUAGGAUCACUGAAAACACAUUAUUAUAUACAGUUAUCCACCCCCAGUGGACUUCCCUUCUUUGACUAAGACUUUUAUACAGUUUAUGUGAAACACCCCCUAAAACUUAUAACUUCCAGGCCAUCCUGAUGCCCUUGGUGGGUGCUGAGGUCAAAGGCCCCAUCUCAUGGAUGAAAUUCACUGUAAGGUGAGAAGAGGUGGAUGUCUAGCGGACAUCUUCUCAAAGCUAGCACAAGGCGUACACUGACCAAUGAUUAGUCAAGGCAGCAUGGCUGGGUAUUGUUGGAAAGAAAACCACAUGCUUACCCUGCUUCACCACAAACAAGUUAAAUUUGACGGCGCACUAAGUCAAAAAAUGCCUUGUCCACUGUUAUCGACACCCACGGCACCAGCUGUGACCCACUAUUGUCCACACCCGCGCUCUAAGGGCUAAAGAUUGUGGCUGUCCGAGAGGGUUCAGGAGGAUGGAGAUCAACAAACUCCUCAAAAUGACCAACAAUAAUACUGUAUGCAAAAAAUUAAAGCCUGUCAGAAAGUUGUGUGUGACAAGAACUAACAUUUUUGGCGGCUGUGGAACACUGGGAGGGUGUUGGGCUAUUAUGUUCACUACUACUACUACUACUAUUACUACUACCACUACUACUACUGCAGGAGGAUGGCGGGGGCAGCAGUGAGGCGGUGGCCGGCGGAGGAGGAGAGAGACAGGCGGAGAAGAAUGUCAAGGUCCAUUUCAAUUCUUCCUUCAACGUUGUCAAGUACGGGGACGGCACUGACAUCAAGCGCUGCACCAGGCCAGCUUCAUCCUAGUCAGCACAAGCUGUUAUGCCCACACUGACCACGGCCACUAUGUCCCCGCUGAGCUGAGUCUGCUGCGCUUCAGCCUAAGGAACGGAAUCAUGAAGUUGUUUCACUGUGUUGUUCCGCCCAUCUUGCUGCCUCGGCAAGGAAGCACUCGCUGGAGACUCACAAGCUGCUGAGUGACUCGGAGGGCUUCGGGAACAGCCUUGAGGAAACUGCCAAGAAUCUGAAGCAGCUCUUGUCCAAGGUGAGGUGUUCGUGCAUGCUGAAGGGGUGCAGGUCUCCCAUAGUUCCCAGUGCAGAGAAACGGUUUGAGGAGCCAAAAAAAGUUUGCGAUGAGGAGUACCAGGUGGAGGGUCGAUCCCCCUAACGUGAGACAGGUACUGAAGAAACUUGAGCAAAAUUGAGGCGUUACUUCAGUAAGAUUUAUCGCUUUAGGAGUGGCAGGACUUUGUGUGUGUGUGAGGGAGUCAGCUCCAGGGUGCUUUGUGAGGAAAGCCUGCAAAGGGCAUUGAGUUAACCCCUUCACUACGGCCGGGCCAAAACAGUGCCCCGUUCCGUAUCCGAGAUCGCCGCGCACGGCAAAUUUCAAAUGUCGCUAUUGAAUGUAACAAGUUUUCAGCCACAAACUCAAAACAAUCAUCAUGUAUUAUAUAUGAAAACAUGCAGAAUUAAAUGGUGCAUAUAAAGAAACAUAAAUUAAUUGAUAGUUUUGAGAUGUAAGCAUAAAUAUAGAGAUAAAAUAACUCGUAUAUUGGUUAAAGCGAGCCUGGACAAAGUAUGCAAGUCCUCGGAUAUGGUACGGGGCACACAAGGACGCAGUAUACUCGUGUUGAAGGGGUUAAGGUCAAAGAGAGGGGUCAGUCGGGUUCUAAUGAGUGUUUCUUUAGGUUCACGGUACAGAGGAAGGGUCACACUACCACCAGGGUCAUAAAACUACUCCUGGAAAUGCCCACAACUCAUACGAAAGCCUUGUCAAAUAGGUGUUCUACUACUUAAGGUCAAAGAGA